rnacentral:rRNA from 1 species
GAUGAACGCUGGCGGCGUGCCUAAUACAUGCAAGUCGAGCGAACAGACGAGGAGCUUGCUCCUCUGACGUUAGCGGCGGACGGGUGAGUAACACGUGGAUAACCUACCUAUAAGACUGGGAUAACUUCGGGAAACCGGAGCUAAUACCGGAUAAUAUAUUGAACCGCAUGGUUCAAUAGUGAAAGACGGUUUUGCUGUCACUUAUAGAUGGAUCCGCGCCGCAUUAGCUAGUUGGUAAGGUAACGGCUUACCAAGGCGACGAUGCGUAGCCGACCUGAGAGGGGGAUCGGCCACACUGGAACUGAGACACGGUCCAGACUCCUACGGGAGGCAGCAGUAGGGAAUCUUCCGCAAUGGGCGAAAGCCUGACGGAGCAACGCCGCGUGAGUGAUGAAGGUCUUCGGAUCGUAAAACUCUGUUAUUAGGGAAGAACAAAUGUGUAAGUAACUAUGCACGUCUUGACGGUACCUAAUCAGAAAGCCACGGCUAACUACG